CAGUAGCCACGGGAAUACAGAGGGUGCGAGCGUUAAUCGGAUUUACUGGGCGUAAAGCGCACGUAGGCGGACUUUUAAGUCAGGGGUGAAAUCCCGGGGCUCAACCUCGGAACUGCCUUUGAUACUGGAAGUCUUGAGUAUGGAAGAGGUUAGUGGAAUUGCGAGUGUAGAGGUGAAAUUCGUAGAUAUUCGCAGGAACACCAGUGGCGAAGGCGGCUAACUGGUCCAUAACUGACGCUGAGGUGCGAAAGCGUGGGGAGCAAACAGGAUUAGAUACCCGAGUAGUCCCUGUCUCUUAUAC
rnacentral:rRNA from 1 species